AUGGCUUCUUUCAAGGUGGAAUUUCUGUGUUUUGCUGAUGAGAAAAAGAAGAAUCAAGAUGGCUUAACAAGACACUGGCAGUGGGAGAGUCAAGACCAAGAGUCUGAGGGUAAGGAGAGGAGAAAGAGACAGAAGCUAGAGAAGAGAAAGACUCCCAGAAGCUCCCAGAGGCUCCCAGAGGUGGACCUGGAUUGGAUUGAAAGCCAUUUUGAAGGGAGAGGCAAGGGCAUCUUUGCACCCUCUGCUCUGCUUCUUGAGUGAACAAGACUCUGUCAGAUUGUUCUCUUUCUGGUAACAAUCUGGACCUGCAACCUCUUCUGGAUGCCAGACAAGAUGGAGGGGUCACGAUAAUAAAGACUUUCACGAGUUUUCUCA
rnacentral:lncRNA from 1 species